rnacentral:rRNA from 1 species
UACGGAGGGUGCAAACGUUGCCCGGAAUCAUUGGGCGUAAAGCGCACGUAGGCGGCCUGAUAAGUCGGGUGUGAAAGCCCUGGGCUCAACCCAGGAAGUGCACUCGAAACUGUCAGGCUUGAAUAUGGAAGAGGGUCGCGGAAUUCCCGGUGUAGAGGUGAAAUUCGUAGAUAUCGGGAGGAACACCAGUGGCGAAGGCGGCGACCUGGGCCAAUAUUGACGCUGAGGUGCGAAAGCGUGGGGAGCAAACAGG